CUGUGGUAUAUGUCAUUUCUGAUAUAUUUGAAAUUGGGCGGGCUUUAUAGCUGCACUGAAAUCGUAAGCAACAAAUCAUAGAAGAUAUAAGAAAGCUUCAUCGUAAUUUGAUGGAACUAUAGUUAUGGAAGAAGCCAUGUCAUCAAACUUAGAUGUCUCUAAAAUUUCGAGCAUUGACGUAAUCUCGCCUGAUAAAAAUCUUCCAAGAAGGAAGUCAUCAAUUUUUAAUCGGAGGAGCACGUUUAUGGGUGAUGAAAACAUGCAAUUUGAUGGUUCAUCAAGUGAAAUGAUUGAUAGAUCUAAAAGUGAAUCAGAUUUUAAUGUAGAGACGUACCUCGCUUGUCUGCAAAAAGAAGUGUCGGACUGGAAAACUUUGUAUGAGGAAAGAAAGAAAGCUAGAACACUGGCAAGAAAACGACAACGCUUGAAGAAUGUGGUAACAAGUGAGGAAGUAUAUGCCAUUUUCAACGAAGAGGAUAAAAAGUUUGUCCGAGGUCGUCCAGAUUAUAACAGGAUGGGAAAAGAUGCGAUUGUAGCGAUGGAAAAAUUCUCCAUUGCCUUACAAACGGCGAUUUGUGUUGAAAAGUCUUCACAGUUGGUUAUAAAUUACGUACAGAAAACUGAAACAGACUUGCGUAAGAAGAUAAUUGAAAUGUCUGUUUUGGAAUGAUUUUCGGAAGUAAGGAAAAUGUGAAAGUGUUACAUCUCUGUGCGUUGUUAUUUAUUUUCUCACCGUAUUGUGCGUUACAGAAUUGUCUUGAUUGGUGCAUAGUAUGAAAUAAUGUCUCAACUUCUUAUUGUAAAAUUCAGCAGUUCGGCUCACUGCAUUACUCGUAAAAGGUUGAAAGUUCUGACGAACAUGAAAUUUGUGUAAUCGAUUUAUGUACAUCUUGCUCUACACAUUACUGUAUCAAACAGUAUACAGUUUGGUCUCGUUUUCACCCAAUACAUUCUGCAAAAGCAAGGUAAGCAUGCAUGUAAUCCUUUGCUGUUUUAGUAAGUGCACUUGAUUGGGAUGAUUGUGUGUUUCAAUUUUGAUGUUAUAGAUAUCCAAAGACGAUCUUUGUAACAACAAAUAGUUUAAGGCCUACAUAUUUAUAAUCGUUUCAUCCGGCAUUACCUUAACAAUUUUGUAAAUGGUUUAAUGCAGAUAUAGGCCCUAAUAUGAAGAAAACGAAAUAGCUCAGAAUAACAUGUUUUAAGUAGAUCAGCUUACGUUAUUAAGUCUACUAUCAUUUGAUUUCAAUUGGUUUUCUUUGCUCUAGUGCUAGUAAACGUUAGUAAUAUUACUCGUAAGAUAAGACCAUGACUAACAGCUGCUACUGUUCAUUGUAAACUACUUCUUUUGCUCUGGACUUUUUAAUUUUUCCAGUCAGUAUAUGUCAGGACCUUUUACCUCUAGUGCUUUGUGUCUGUUAAUUGCUAAUUAUAGCAAUAAAGUGUACAAUCCCACUAUGGAAGCAAUUAAAGAAUGUUGUGUGUGGACACUUUGUGCAAUUAUAAUAAUGUAGUUCAUGUUCCCUGAGGGGUGUUACCUGAAAUACGUUCUUGGAAAUGAAAGAUUAGCAUUUACAAAUAAACACCUUUGAUU
rnacentral:lncRNA from 1 species